AGCAGCCGCGGUAAUUCCAGCUCCAAUAGCGUAUAUUAAAGUUGUUGCAGUUAAAAAGCUCGUAGUUGAAUUUCGGGGUCAGUAGGUUGGUCAUGCCACUGGUAUGUACUGGUCUCACUGAUUCCUCCUUCCUGAUGAGCUGUAAUGCCAUUAAUUUGGUGUUGCAGGGAAUCUGGACUGUUACUUUGAAAAAAUUAGAGUGUUUAAAGCAGGCUAACGCCUGAAUACAUUAGCAUGGAAUAAUGAAAUAGGACGUUCGAUCCUAUUUUGUUGGUUUCUAGGAUUGACGUAAUGAUUAAUAGGGAUAGUUGGGGGCAUUAGUAUUCAAUUGUCAGAGGUGAAAUUCUUGGAUUUAUUGAAGACUAACUACUGCGAAAGCAUUUGCCAAGGAUGUUUUCAUUAAUCAAGAACGAAAGUUAGGGGAUCGAAGACGAUCAGAUACCGUCGUAG
rnacentral:rRNA from 1 species